rnacentral:rRNA from 1 species
UAGGGAAUCUUCCACAAUGGACGCAAGUCUGAUGGAGCAACGCCGCGUGAGUGAAGAAGGUUUUCGGACCGUAAAGCUCUGUUGUUGGUGAAGAAGGAUAGAGGUAGUAACUGGCCUUUAUUUGACGGUAAUCAACCAGAAAGUCACGGCUAACUACGUGCCAGCAGCCGCGGUAAUACGUAGGUGGCAAGCGUUGUCCGGAUUUAUUGGGCGUAAAGCGAGCGCAGGCGGAAGAAUAAGUCUGAUGUGAAAGCCCUCGGCUUAACCGAGGAAUUGCAUCGGAAACUGUUUUCUUGAGUGCAGAAGAGGAGAGUAGAACUCCAUGUGUAGCGGUGGAAUGCGUAGAUAUAUGGAAGAAUACCAGUGGCGAAGGCGGCUCUCUGGUCUGCAACUGACGCUGAGGCUCGAAAGCAUGGGUAGCGAACAGGAUUAGAUACCUGCUGAGUCCAUGCCGUAAACGAUGAGUGCUAAGUGUUGGGAGGCUUCCGCCUCUCAGUGCUGCAGCUAACGCAUUAAGCACUCCGCCUGGGGGAGUACGACCGCAAGGUUGAAAC